CUAACUGUGGACUGAACCAAAGCACAGCCUUCAAUAAUGGAUCAAUCCCACACAACAGGAGGUGACUAGAGGUUAAUCCACUAAGAGAGCCCUAUCAGCACGGAGGAACUCUGACUAUGGGGACCCACGACUAAGGAAGAUAGAUAGGAGAGGGACAGGGGAAAGACAGGUGGAGCGUCGAAGUACUAACCUCUAAGAACAGCGGACGCGAACGGAAUCCCCUAGGGGCCGGAGGCAAUCAGCAUGUCAUGUCGGGUAACACGACCGAGAAACAUAAGCCUUGAAAAAGAUUUAUCGAAACAUGUUGGUGUUUUAAGAACGCAAUGACGUGUGGACCAGUUGAAGCGCAGCCAGUGCGCGAAAUGGCACCGUUGCCCUACGAGACACCCCUGCACCGAUUCUUGUCUGCACAGCACUUGAUGUUAUGAGGAUCUACAAAUAAACCCUUCACUGAAG